GGGGUUCGAUUUCGGAGAGGGAGCAUGAGAAACGGCUACCACAUCUAAGGAAGGCAGCAGGCGCGUAAAUUACCCAAUCCUGACUCAGGGAGGUAGUGACAAGAAAUAGCAAACCGGGAACCUCAUGGUUUCACGGUAUUGCAAUGAGAACAAUUUAAAACCCUUAGCGAGAAUCAAGUGGAGGACAAGUCUGGUGCCAGCACCCGCGGUAAUUCCAGCUCCACUAGCGUAUAUUAAAGUUGUUGCAGUUAAAAAGCUCGUAGUUGAACCUCUGUCUGGGGCUAGUUUUGGCUUUGGUCAGGCUAGUUCUAGGCAUCCGCCUACAAGACUUAGAGGGCAUUCAGUUGUUCACUAGGAGGAGUAGGCAUUUUACUUUGAAAAAAUUAGAGUGUUUAAGGCAGGCAAUCGCCCGCAUAUAUUAGCAUGGAAUAAUAGAAUAGGACACUUUUCCAUUUCGUUGGUUAUUGGAAUCGUGUAAUGAUUAAUAGGGACAGUUGUGGGCAUUUGUAUUUAAUUGUCAGAGGUGAAAUUCUUGGAUUUAUUAAAGACAAACUAACGCGAAAGCAUUUGCCAAGGAUGUUUUCAUUAAUCAAGAACGAAAGUUAGGGGAUCAAAGACGAUCAGAUACCGUCCUAGUCUUAACUAUAAACUAUUCCGACUCAAUGUUUGACUGGCUUAUAUAACCAGUUGAGCGUUGUAUGAGAAAUCAAAGUCUUUAGGUUCUGGGGGGAGUAUGGUUGCAAAGCUGAAACUUAAAGGAAUUGACGGAAGAGCACAACCAGGAGUGGAUUCUGCGGCUUAAUUUGACUCAACACGGGGAAACUUACCAGGUUAAAACAAUAGUGGGAUUGACAGUUUGAGAGCGCUUUCUUGAUUGGUUGGGUGGUGGUGCAUGGCCGUUCUUAGUUGGUGGAGUGAUUUGUCUGCUUGAUUGCGUUAACGAACGAGACCUUAACCUGCUUACUAGACUGGCGAUCAUCAAUCGUUAGCUCUUCUUAGAGGGACUUUGGUUGUUUUAACUCCAAGGAAGUUUGAGGCAAUAACAGGUCUGUGAUGCCCUUAGAUAUCCUGGGCCGCACGCGUCAUACAAUGACUAGUUCAGAAAGUUUUCUCCUGACCCGAAAGGGGAUGGGUAAUCUUGAUAAUACUAGUCGUGUUAGGGAUCGAUCUUUGCAAUUAUAGAUCUUGAACGAGGAAUUCCUAGUAAGUGCGGUUCAUCAGACCGUACUGAUUACGUCCCUGCUCUUUGUACACACCGCCCGUCGCUUCUACCGAGUGGGUGGUCCGGUGAGAUAAUUGAACUUCGCAGGUAACUGAGAGGAAAGAUUAUCAAACCUAUCCACCUCGAGGAAGAAGAAGUCGUAACAAGGUU
rnacentral:rRNA from 1 species